GGUGUGGCUCAGUUUGGCUAGAGCGCUUGAUUUGGGAUCAAGAGGUCGCAGGUUCGAAUCCUGUCACC
rnacentral:tRNA from 1 species